GAUGAACGCUGGCGGCGUGCCUAAUACAUGCAAGUCGAGCGGACAGAUGAGGAGCUUGCUCCUCUGACGUUAGCGGCGGACGGGUGAGUAAUACGUGGAUAACCUACCUCUAAGACUGGGAUAACUUCGAGAAACCGGAGCUCAUACCGGAAAAUAUAUUGAACCGGAUGGUUCUAUAGUGAAAGGCGGUUUUGCUGUCACCUAUCGAUGGAUCCGCGCCGCAUUAGCUAGUUGGUAAGGUAACGGCUUACCAAGGCAACGAUGCGUAGCCGACCUGUGAGGGGGUACGGCGACACUGGAGCUGAGACACGGUCCAGACUCCUACGGGAGGCAGCAGUAGGGAAUCUUCCGCAAUGGGCGAAAGCCUGACGGAGCAGCGCCGCGUGGGUGAUGAAGGUCUGCGGAUCGUAAAACUCUGUUAUUAGUGAAGAACAAAUGUGUAAGUAACGAUGCACGUCUUGACGGUACCUAAUCAGAAAGCCACGGCUAACUACGUG
rnacentral:rRNA from 1 species